GCAGGGCAGGGCAGGGCAGGGCAGGGCCAGAGUGUGAGGAUUCCCGCCCGAGUUCUCCCCCCUGAUAGAGCUAGAAGAAGGAAAACAAGUUGGCGUCCGGGGGGUGGAAGUUACAUCUGGUUUCCGCUGGGGAUGAUCGUAGUUCGUCUCCUGCGCCGGACCGGAUCGCACCGGACUCGUGGGUGCCCGUGGUGGGGCGUAUGUAUAUACUGCGUGAGUGUAUGUGAAUAAUUGCUUUUUUUGUCGGGGAAUGUUUCCAUCCCGGCAAGGGACGCUUGAAGAUAUUGACGCUUGAAGCACAAGCACAGGCACAGGACAAGCAUAUGGACAGAGCAGGCAGGGCCUAUGUCCAGUCCCGGACAUCUGUGCCAUAGUGAACCCCCUUCCCCGGGAAAAAGUGGGUACACACUCUGAUCUCUUCCACCGCCCCUGCUCGCCCGACCCAUGAUUCGAGGCCAUCGCGGUUGGGCGUUCAAGGAAUAUAAGGUGUGAUAUCCGGGAGAUACAGAGAGGACUCGAUGGUUUUUGCCGCGCGCGCAUCAAUCGCAGCUUGGCGCAGAAGGUGUAGCCUUUCGUCGCGCUCUCUCUC
rnacentral:sRNA from 1 species